GGGGAUGGCAGGCUUUGACAAAAGCGGCUCGUUGAAAAACUGCAGACCGGUCGUCAUACCGCAACCUGACAAAAACCAAUAACUGCCAACAAAACAGCAGUUCCUGCAUUCGCUUUCGCGUAAUGCAGUGUCGCCCCACCCUAAGCUUGUACGGUGGACGCGGCAUCAACCCACAAGCUGGUUCAGUAUCCGUGCCGUAGGCGCCUGAACGAGAUUCAAAUCGGCAAACUCAGUGGCGAUUCGUCGGAUUUUCUGCUUCUGUUUUACACUAACCCGACUAUGUCUGUAGACGUCUUUCAAUAACUCUUUUGGACGGGAGUUCAAUUCUCCUCAUCUCCACCA
rnacentral:tmRNA from 2 species